CAUACGGGUUGAAGCAUGACCGUAAGGACAUGUGGACAGUAUGGGAGUGAGAAUGUUGGCAUGAGUAGCGAGAUGUGGGUGAGAAUCCCACAGGCCGUAAACCCAAGGUUUCCAGGGGAAGGUUCGUCCGCCCUGGGUUAGUCGGGACCUAAGCUGAGGCCGAAAGGCGUAGGUGAUGGACAACAGGUUGAUAUUCCUGUACUACCGAUAACCGUUUGAGAGAAGGGAUGACACAGUAGGAUAAGCUAA
rnacentral:rRNA from 1 species